GCCAGAGCCAGAUCUCCCUGUGGUUCUCGCCUGGUGUCAAAGUGACACUAAGCAGGGUUGAGCCUGGACAGUACCUGGAUGGGAGACCUUCUAGGGAAAACUAAGGUUGCUGCUGGAA
rnacentral:rRNA from 1 species